rnacentral:rRNA from 1 species
GCUCCAAUAGCGUAUACUAAAGUUGUUGCAGUUAAAAAGCUCGUAGUUGAAUUUCUGGUCGUGGCAGCUGGUCCGCCUCGAAAGGGGUGUGUACUUGGUUGUUGCGUCCAUCCUCGGGGAGAGCACAUCUGGCAUUCAGUUGUCGGGUGUGGGACCUCGUCAUUUACUGUGAGCAAAAUAGAGUGUUCAAAGCAGGCUUA